UUUUUGUAUUACGACUAAAGGACCCGAAUUUAGGUGAUCUAAAAAAAAAAAUUUUUUUGCCCCCGUAGAAUAGAGGGGUAUGUUAGAAAGUACUAAAACAGUAAACCGAACCUAAAAAACUGAUAUUGAUUCAAAUUAUAAAAUAAAUAAUAAAACAGAGAAUCGAAGAGGAUUAAAAAGAAGAAAAUAUUUUCUCAAAAAUUUUUGGAUGUACGAUAAUAAUCUAUAUUUAAGAAUAAUCAGAAUAAAAAUCUUUAGACAAAAAUUUAUUUAAUGAAUUUAAUAUAAAAUUUUCCCCGACUGUUUAACAAAAACAUUUCUUCAACAAAGUAUUAGAAGUAAGCCCUGCUCAGUAAUCUAAAUAAAACAGCCAAAUAUUUGCUAAGGUAGCAUAAUUACUAGCCGUUUAAUUAACGGAUUGUCUGAAUGGGUAAACGAGGGAAAAGCUUUCUUAAAUAAAUAGAUAAGUAGGGGGUAAAAUCUCCCCCGAAAUGAAAUUAGACGAUAAGACCCUUUAAUCUUAAUAAAAAAAAUUUUGUUGGGGCAACAAAGAGACAAAUUCUCUUAUAAAAAAAAAUUUUCUCUUAAAGGAAAAAAAGAUACUAAAGGGAUAACAGCAUAAUAUUUUCUUAUAAGACCUUAUUAUAAGAAAAGAGUAUGACCUCGAUGUUGAACCAGAGAAAAU
rnacentral:rRNA from 1 species